CGCACAAAGUUUAAAAGAUCAUUUUGUGUCGUACCUGCCCGGUGGAGAGAUCUAAACGGCUGCGGUACCCUGACCGUGCAAAGGUAGCAUAAUCAUUUGCCUUUUAAUUGGUGGCUAGUAUGAAUGGUUUGUCAGCACCUUAACUGUCUCACUAGAUUUUAUUUCGAAUUUAACCUUCAGGUGAAGAUGCCUGAAUUACUCAGAAGGACGAGAAGACCCUAUAGAGCUAAAUCUUUUGUUGUUGCUAAAACAACUUAGUUGUUGAUUGGGGCGAUCAGGGAGUUGAAAAACCCUCCCUUGAUAUACAAGAAACACAAGAACCAGCUUUUUAGCUGAACUAGGGUUAGCUACCUUAGGGAUAACAGCACUAUUUUCCUAGAGAGAUCUAAUCGAUAGGCAAGAUUAUGACCUCGAUGUUGGACUAAGGUAACUUGGUGGUGCAGCAG
rnacentral:rRNA from 1 species